CAAACUCCCAAACCUUUUUACUUUUCCCUCAAAACUUUUACUCCUUCCUACUUUCCCCCCAAAACUUUUAUUCCCCUCCCCUCCCAACCCCCCAAUCUACCCAAAAUCCAUUUCCCACCAAAAUUUUACUCUCCCAUUUAUUUUUUCUCAAAAUUUUACUCCCAAAAACCCUCAAAACAUUUUAUUUUCCCCCAAAAUUUUUACUUCCUCCCACUUUUCCCCUAAAACUUUUAUUCCCUUCCCAUUUCACCUCCCAUCUAUCCCAAACCCUCCCCCCUCCAAUUUUUUUUUAAUAUUUUCCCUCCAAACUAUUUACUUUCCCUCAAACUUUUAUUCUCUAAAACUUUUUAUUUUUCCCCUAAACUUUUACUUCUCAC
rnacentral:lncRNA from 1 species